rnacentral:misc_RNA from 1 species
AUCAUCACUCCCACUAGCCAAAAUUGUAGGAUCUGCUGAUGAGAAGUCAAUGGACCAUACGCGCCUCUCAUGUUCUCCCAUUUCAGUGACCACUUGACUUCUCGUGACAUCCCACACCUGCACUACACCCUCAAAAUUACUUGAAGCAAUUUGACUUUUGAUGUAACGAUUCCAACAAACACUGCUUAGUUUCGACCUGCUAGCCAUUUCAACAACAGGGUAAUGAAUAUCACGGUCUUCGU